AUUGAACGCUGGCGGCAGGCUUAACACAUGCAAGUCGAGCGGGGUGAUGUAGCUUGCUACAUUACCUAGCGGCGGACGGGUGAGUAAUGCUUAGGAAUCUGCCUAUUAGUGGGGGACAACAUUCCGAAAGGAAUGCUAAUACCGCAUACGCCCUACGGGGAAGCAGGGGAUCUUCGGACCUUGCGCUAAUAGAUGAGCCUAAGUCAGAUUAGCUAGUUGGUGGGGUAAAGGCCUACCAAGGCGACGAUCUGUAGCGGGUCUGAGAGGAUGAUCCGCCACACUGGGACUGAGACACGGCCCAGACUCCUACGGGAGGCAGCAGUGGGGAAUAUUGGACAAUGGGCGAAAGCCUGAUCCAGCCAUGCCGCGUGUGUGAAGAAGGCCUUUUGGUUGUAAAGCACUUUAAGCGAGGAGGAGGCUACUUAGACUAAUACUCUAGGAUAGUGGACGUUACUCGCAGAAUAAGCACCGGCUAACUCUGUGCCAGCAGCC
rnacentral:rRNA from 1 species